UACGUAGGCAGCGAGCGUUGUUCGGAGUUACUGGGCGUAAAGGGUGUGUAGGCGGUUCUUUAAGUUUGGUGUGAAAUCUCCCGGCUCAACCGGGAGGGUGCGCCGAAAACUGGGGGACUAGAGUGCGGGAGAGGAAAGUGGAAUUCCUGGUGUAGCGGUGAAAUGCGUAGAUAUCAGGAGGAACACCGGUGGUGUAGACGGCUUUCUGGACCGUAACUGACGCUGAGACACGAAAGCGUGGGUAGCAAACAGG
rnacentral:rRNA from 1 species